rnacentral:lncRNA from 1 species
UUUGAUUUGAUUUGAUUUUUUUUUUAAGGUAUGUAUAAUGCAAAUUUAUGUAAAAUUUCCAAAAAAAUAAAUAAAAUGGACUUUUAUUUCUCUUAAUGCUUUUUUUUUUAUUUUUUUCUUUUUGCACAUGGUGCCAGAUGCACCAUCUUUUUUUUUUAUAUUUUCCUUUCUUUUCCCCUGUUUUUUUUUUUUUUUUUGCACAUGGUGCCAGAGCACCAAAUAUCAAACAA